AUGGGCACUGUAGUCUGUACCAUUGUGCUGGGGGAAUGCAGUCCCAGUCAGAUGGCUUCGCUCUUGGGAAAGUGGGACAAUGCUACCACCAGAUCGGCUAACACUAGUAAUUUCAGUAACCAGCAGGGCAAUUGCAGCCCUGCGUUCUCAUCUACGCUGACUCCUUCACCAUCGGUGAGAGCUCGAGAUCUGGAUGUGAGAAGAAUCAGAUUUGCAGUAUUAAAUUCAGAUGGCUAUGAAUGUAAUGCCGUUGACUUCAGGGUUUGGCUGAGCUUACAAAAACUGUCCUCAGAAACAGAUAAGAAGGGCUGCAUCCAGAAAACUACGCAGGUGUUGGGAAGGAAGCUCUCUAGAAUAAAUGAAGUUACACUUCUCCUGAAAGAAGACAAACUGAACAAGCAAGUAUCGUAUGGCAUGCUCCAGUGUGAUUCAUUUCAGAAAUGUACUUCUGGACUUUUUUUUACUAUUUCAAAUAUAAAAUGUUAUUAAAAAGAAAGAAGUGGCAAGAAACUAAGACCUGAGAUGGAAACUUUCUCUAUUCCUUUGAGACCCUCUGCACUUCAAGCAAAGCAAAGAUCACUAAGCAAACACUCUGUGUGAGGACCAAAGACAUCAUGUACCCCACUUCCCAGAUGCUGAGCGGAGAUGUGUAAUCACUCUUGAAGAUACAUACAUAAAGCAUGGGAUCAUUGGGGUAUGUUUUGCUCAGUGAAGCAGAAAGUUGGAAAACAAAUCCAGCAAGACAAGUAGGGUCUCCAUCCUUCCUACAGAAGGGGCGGAAUUAUCUCAGAUGUUCUCUGACGUCAGACUAAUACGUCAGAUUUCAACUACCUCUUUUUAAAAGUGCAGAAUCUCUUGUGCCAGCCAUACCCCUAAACUUACAAUAACUGCUAUCAGUGAAUGUUAUUAGUUUCUUAUGCCAAAAAGGGAGAAGGACAACCUCCAAAGUUGUCUACUGAAGCAGGUAGCCUACCAAGUAGGAAUUUUGCAGCAGUCCAUGCAAGGAGAGAACACGCUGCACCAGGCCCAAACAAACUGCGGCAGGACGAGGAUGCCAGCCAGUAUUUGGAGUAUUCGGUGGCUGACUGGAUCCCCAGCCCCAGCGCUUAUGAAACGCACCCUGUUCCUUCCUGCCAAACCAAUGAAUGCGCGUGCAUCAGUAAAGGAUGGUGCAAGCUGCGAACCUGUUCCAACACAAGGAACAGUGAAGAGAAGGACGACGUGCACAGUCAUCUCAAGAGAAAUUUAGAGAAGCAGCAUCACAAUGAAGUUGGAAAUACACAAUGAGGGUCUUAAAGAACCAGAUAUACUACAGGAUUUCACUGGGGAAAAUUAAUGCUACUUGUUUACCCUACAUUCAAUAACCUUUUCAGUUUCUUAUUUGUAAUAAAAAAAAAUCACUUUUUGAGCA
rnacentral:lncRNA from 1 species